GGCAGCAGAGGACUCCUCAAUCAGACAAUCCCCUCGCCUUUUACUAGGGGAUUCCGUGUGGGUUCCUCAUUUAAUGCUGCGUAACAAUCUUUGGAAUUGCUUCUCCUUCGGAGACAU
rfam:Leucoagaricus sp. SymC.cos contig2817, whole genome shotgun sequence.